UAGCCCAAAGGUCCAAAGU
rnacentral:misc_RNA from 1 species